rnacentral:sRNA from 1 species
UCCUCGAUCUGCUGGGGGCAGAUGAAGUGGAUAUGGGCGUCCAUCGCGCCCGCGGUCAGGAUCUUGCCCUCGCCGGCGAUGACCUCGGUGCCGGGACCGAUGACGAUGGUCACGCCAGGCUGGACGUCGGGGUUGCCAGCCUUGCCGACGGCCAGGAUGCGCCCGUCCCGCAGGCCCACGUCCGCCUUCACGAUUCCCCAGUGGUCGACGAUCAGGGCGUUGGUGAUGAUGGUGUCGGCGGCGCCCGAGGCCCGGGUCGCCUGGCUCUGGCCCAUGCCGUCGCGGA